ACAACUCCCCCCCUUCCAGAUCAGACCUGUCCUCAGGGCUGGAAAUUAGGAAACACUUUUUGUAUGAAUGUGGCGUCCUCCCAAGUGGCCUCCUCCAGAGGUAGAUUACUCCAUUUGAUGAGCCAUCGAACCACGGGGAUACUGAUGUUGCCUUGCACACGCGGUACCAGUUUGCGUUCGAGCAGUUGUUCUGGUUCUAGUAAGAUUGUUCCAUCCGGGUUGAGCAAGGGGAGCUUGGGGUUUGGAAUCGCCAUUGGGCCAAUAUGCUUCUUGAGCUGGCUCACAUGAAAAGUAUCAUGCAGUUUGCAAUCGUCAGGAAGAAGGAGCUUGUAAGCCAUUGUACCAACUUUCAGGAUAACUCUGAAUGGGCCAUAAAAUUUGGAAUGCAACUUGGGACAUCUAUGGAUACUGAGAGUGGUAUGCCUGUAAGGUUGUAGUUUUAGGUAUACCAUGUCACCAACUUCCAAUGUUCUCUCAGAUCUCUUCUUGUCGGCGUAAUGUUUCAUUCUGGCUUGAGCCCUCAAGAGGUGUUCUUUAAUAUGUGCUGCGGUUUGUUCAGCAGUGAGUACAUCAGGGAACUGUUCCAGUUCUUCCACAGGAUAAAGAGCAGAUUCAGCUAACAUAUGAGGAGGUCUGCCAUACAAGGCUUGGAAUGGGGUGAUCUUGAGAGCUGUGUGAUAGCUAGUGUUGUACCACCACUCUGCUAGGGAUAACCAGUUGAGCCACUUUUGUGGUUGGAUGAAAGCCAUGCAUCUGAGAUAAUUUUCCAAGCAUUGGUUAACUCUCUCUGUCUGACCAUCAGACUGAGGGUGGUACGAAGUGCUCAUGUGUAAUUUUAUUCCCAACUUCUUGAACAAGUCCUGCCAGAGCUUGCUAGUGAAGAUUUUGUCUCUGUCAGUGACAAUCACAGCUGGUAACCCAUGGAGUUUGAAGAUGUUAUCAGUGAAAGCCUUAGCUACAGUAUUAGCUGUAAUGGGGUGUUUCAUUGGGAUAAAGUGGUUGUAUUUAGUGAACCUGUCCACCACAACCAAAAUCAUGUUCUUGUUGUGAGAAGUAGGAAGACCUUCCAUAAAAUCCAUGCUUAUGUGGCACCAGGCAAAGUCUGGGACUGGCAGAGGUUGGAGCAGCCCAGGGUACUUGCAGUGUUCAGCUUUGUUUAUUUGACAGGUUGGGCAUUGUUUAAUAUAGUCAACAACAAAUUGCUUCAUGCCAGGCCAAUGGAAGAGAAGCUUAACUCUUUGGUAUGUAGCUCUUUGACCAGAAUGGCCACCAAGUUCAGAGCUAUGUAAAGCAGCUAGCAAUUUAGUUCUGAUGGUGUUAUCAGCUCCAAUGACAAUUCUAUUUUUGUAUCUGAGCACACCCUAUUGCACAGUGUAGUUGGGCACAGAAUCAGGGUUUAUAGUUAGUUGAGCUAGGAGAUCCUUGCAUAUUUGGUCAUUCUUGUAGCUGUCAACAACUUCAGUUACCCAGGCAGGUUUGACAGUAGAAGCAAUUAGAGCAUGAAUUUUGUGGUGCACCCUGGAAAGGGCAUCAGCCACUUUAUUUUUCUUGCCCUGCUUGUACUCCACAGUGUAAUUGUAGCCAAGGAGUUUGACCAGAAGCUUGUGCUGAAUCCUCGGUGAGUUUUUGUUCUUGUAUAUAUUUUAAACUCUGUUGAUCAGUUCUGAUUAUGAGAGAGGAUGCAGCAAAAUAAUGUUUCCAGUGCUUGAGAGCUUCAAUAAUUGCUAAAGCUUCCUUGUCAUAAGUGGAAUAUGCAGCUGCUCUAGGGCCAAUUGCUUUACUGAAAAAGGAAAUAGGUCUCCCCUCUUGCAUUAGAACUGCACCCAGUCCAUAGGCACAAGCAUCUGUUUCCAAGAUGAAAGGCUUGGAGAAGUCUGGUAGGGCCAACACUGGGGCUUGUGUCAUUUUGUUCUUCAGGGUAUUGAAAGCUUGAACUUGCUCUUGCCCCCAAGUGAAACUGUCCUUUUUCAGGGAGUUAAACAGUGGCCUGCAAAUGAGUCCAUACUUUUCCACAAAUCUUCUAUAGUAACUUGUCAACCCUAAAAAGCUCCUGAGCUGUGUGACAUUUUCAGGUUCUGGCCAUUGCUGUACAACCUGAAUUUUGACUGGGUUAGUUGCAACUCCAUCAGCCCUAAUAACAUGUCCCAAGUACUCCACCCGAGGCUGAGCAAAGACACAUUUGCUUGCUUUAAUAUACAGCUGGUGUUCCUUGAGAGUUUCAAAUACUUGUUGCAAGUGGAUUAUGUGCUCCUUCAUAUUUUUACUGAACACCAAAAUAUCAUCAAAGAAUACUAGUACAAAUUUUCUGAGAUACUUGGCUAAGAUAGUAUUCAUGAGCAUUUGGAAAGUUGCAGGAGCAUUGGUUAAACCAAAGGGCAUAACCAAGUAUUCAUAGUGCCCACAGUGAGUGCUAAAAGCAGUUUUCUCAAUAUCCUCUUCCUUCAUUCUGAUCUGAUGGUAUCCACUUCUGAGAUCAAGCUUAGUGAAAACAGUGGCUCCAUGCAAUUCAUCCAACAAAUCCUCAAUAACAGGGAUGGGGUAUUUGUUUUUGAUAGUCUGAGUAUUGACCUUUCUGAAGUCAUUGCAAAGUCUCCAGGAUAGAUCUUUCUUUUUCACCAAAAUUGCAGGAGAGGAGUAAGGACUUGAACUAUCUUUGAUUACCUUAUUUUUAAUCAUUUCCUGAAUGAUAUUUUCCAUAGCUUCCUUUUGGUGAUAAGGUAAUCUGUAUGGCCUUUGGUUUAUAACUUUUGCACCAGGUUCAAAAGGAAUUGCAUGAUCAACAUUUCUCUUAGGAGGUAAAUCAGUAGGAGUUCCAAAAAUAUCCUUGUACUGACCUAGAAGUUCUUGGACAGGUAGGGGAACAACAGUGUCCUCAUGUUCUGUCAGAGCAAUUUUGUUUAGUAGCAACACAGCCCCACAGAUAGUGUCAUCAGAUAAGUGCUCCAUGCUGUCCAUUUCUUGAACUGGCUCACUGGGUAAGCUUUCAUCCUUGAAGAUUUUCUUUUCUCCUGAUUUCAGUGUGACUUGCACUUCCAUUUCCUCAAAAUCUAGCUGGACAGGACUAACAGUUUUCAUCCAAUCAGCUCCCAAUAUCACAUCAUAACCUUGCAACUGUAGGACUCGGAAAUCAUGGGAAAAUUUAGUUCCUUGCACCACAAAAGGGCACUGGGUGGCAAUGAAUUCAGUCCAUAGAGUUGCUCCAUUGGCAACUAACACUUUCUUUUUCUUAGUUGGAGUAAGAGCACACAGAGCCAGCUUUGCAAGUGCAGGAGUUACAAAUGUUGCGGUGCUGCCACUGUCAAUGAGGUCAGUUGCAGGUCUGUCUCCCAACAUGACUGUAACAGUGAAACUCAGCUUGGAGGAAGUGACUCCCAUGAGGGCAUGCAUGGAGAUUUGCAAGGGAGUGUCAUCCAAGUCAGUGGGAGGUGGAGCUUCAGUAUCAUCAGCAGUGUAGUAGACCAGUUCUGCAUCCUCAGGGCAGGUCUCUUGCAAGGCUUGUAUCUGCAUUUGAUUUGCCAAUUUGCAAACUUUCUUGUGGCCAGGAAACCAUGGUUCUUUGCACUGGUAGCAGAUUCCUUUCAUUCUGGCCCGUUGGAUGACAGUAGGUGUGUUGUUAGGAGGUGGCUUUCCUAGGUCCAACUGAAGUUGCCUCCUAACUGGCUGAUUAAUAUAAGCCACUGGUGUUUUCUUGCUGGGCUAAGCUUGUUCCAUUCUUCUGGCCAACCAGAUAGCUUUUUGUAGGUCUGCUGGUUCAUGACAUUGAACAUAAUGUUGGAUAGUGUCACUCAGACCAGCAAUGAAACUAGCUUUGUAAUAAUCAGCAGGCAGUGCAGGGUUGUCCCUCCUGAGUAAGUUCAUGGACUGUUCAAACUUGAGCACAUAGUCAUUAACAGACCCAGUUUGGUUGAGAGCAUGAAAAGUUCUGACAUUGUCACAUACUGAAGUUUCGGAAAACCUGUCUCCAAUCAGUCUACAGAACCUGUACCAGGGUAGGGUAUUGGCAAUAAUUCCAGUUCCUCUCCACCACUCUAUUGCUGGCCCCUUUAAGUAAGUGACAGCAAUUUCAGUUUUCUGCUCCAGUGGUGUCCUAGCAGCUUCAAAGUACAUUUCAAUGGUUUGGAUCCAAGAGUCAGUUCCACUGCCAUCAAACUCCGGUAUGUUAUACUUAGCAGGUUUCACCAAAGUCAGAGGUCUUCUGUUGUCUUGGACUUGAUCUCUCUGUGCAUUGCCCCCUCUGCCAGCUAUUUGCUGAACCUGCUCCUCAGCUUGCUCUUGUUCUAACUGAGUGAUUUGUUGCAUGUUUCCUAUUUUAGGAAUUGCAGUAGUUGCUCUGGCAUUAGGUGGGAGAAGUUUGUUGUCCGCAAAGUGGGGGUGCCUGUACGAAAUUUUGGUGCUGCCAUCCAAGUUAAGUUCUUUUCCAGUGUGCUUAUCCACCAAAGUUACAGAGCCUGCAGUAGGAGGGGUUUGGAGGCCAUCGACUGGCCGAAGCACUGGGCCUUGUGGUGUAUGAUUUUGUCCACUGCCUUGAGGGAUAUCUUGGGAAUGGGUGGGGUUUCAUGUGGUUUUGGAAAUCUAGAGAUAAAUUUGUUAAGUGUGCCCUGUAAUUCCCCCAAAGACUUCUGCAUUGACUGGAAGUUGUCUUGCACAUGGUCCCUGAAGUCCUUGAAGUCCUGUCUGUCCUGCUCUCGAUUUCUCAUAGCACUUGCUGCAACCCGACCUUGACCGUAGAUCCUGCCGCCGCCUGCACCGCCGCUGUCAGCUACACUGCCGCCAAGUCUGUCCGGUGGGAAGUGAAGGAUUUUACGGCUCCUCCAACUCCACCGCCGCCAAGCAUGGAAUUCAGUAAAACAGAGACUGAACUAGUGGAGUUUAGCUUGAAUUUCAGAGGAAUGAUUAGCGAGUCUAGCUCGUUACAGAGGUUCUAGCCGACCAGGAACACUGGCGGCGGCAAGGGGGAAACCCUAACAAAAAAGAUACCUAACCUCGAUCCCAACUCCUGGCUUUAUAGCCUUACAAAGGGAAGGAAAAAGAAGAUCAAAAGCAAAACAAAAAGGAGAGAAACGUUGCGGUCUUUGCCGGAAAGGGAACAUCGACCUCCAGGGCAGUCCCCGCCACACGAUGAAGAUCGGACGCUCGUCGGGUCAUCAUAACUGGCGAAGCGGUACGACGACGUCUCGGCCGUGCGAUCGAAGAUGUGUGGCUCGUGACGUUUCCCGCCUGUUCGGACGGGUUUGAAUUAACUGAAUCCUAUUUGCAGCGAUCGGAUCUUCAGACAGAGGCACUCGGGUCCUGACAACCUUGACUGAAAUAAGUGUGCCUUUGAGCAAUCGAGGCACCCGUGGGUAUCAAGCUGGAUCCUCCCUCUUGUCUCUGGAGUCCUUUUUGAUCCUGUGAUACUUGUUGUUCUGUCCUAGGAUGGUCAUUCUUGUUGAGUGAUAACCAGGGCAGCUCCAUUGUAUAAACAGAUUGAUCUAUGAUAAAAGAUGACGGGGGUAGGUUAUAUGAUCGAGGAAAGCCGAAUCUGAGCCCACAAUGCAAUGAACCCUGAACUAUUUUUAUUUGUACUUAAAGGUGUUACUUAUUUAUGCUCCGAUGGCUUUCGUGCUGGGGCGAUGAUGAUUAGCCGUGUCUGAAAUAAGUGUGCCUUCGAGCAAUCGAGGCACAUGUGGGUAUCAAGUUGAAUCCUCCCUCUUGUCUCUAGAAUCCUUUUUGAUCCUGUGAUACUUGUUGCUCUGUCCUUGGAUGGUCAUUCUUGUUGAGUGAUAACCAGGGAAGCUCCACUGUAUAAAAAGAUUGAUCUGGUGAUAAGAGACGGGGGUAGGUUAUAUGAUCGAGGAAAGUCAGAUCUGAGCCCACUAUGCAAUGAACCCUGGAUCCUUUUUAUUUGUAUUUAAAGGUGUUGCUUAUUUAUGCUUCGGUGUUUAUAGUCGUCUUAUGUAAAGAUUUCUUCUCUCUCAUACCUUUAUUGCAUAUGAGUUGUUCUUGAUCUUUUAUUGUUUGUUGUUGGUCCUUGAUUUAAUCUGGUUAAGAGUAAGCUGCACUUUGUUAUACUAGAAAGACAUGCUCCCAGCAAGUUAUAGGGGCCUCUCUUGCUGCCUUAAGUUUGUAUGGUAAAGUAUGCAUCAUGUGUGCCUCUGUUUUGUUUCCCUCUUGUAUUCCUAUGUCUUGCCUCACAUAUCAUGGCACUUGAUAUAUGCAUGGUUGUUGGCGAUCGGACGCCACCACCGCCGCCGAUGCCAUCGUGGCUCUUGCCGCCGUCAAACAUUAAGCUUGAGUCUCAGUUUGAUCUUACGGUUCUACGGCUCAAAGGUUGAUGACUGCCAUGAGGCACUACCCAGUUAAAUCUUUGUAAGUUGUUGAGCAUGAACUUUUCUUCUUAAUUAUUUUCAUCUUCUUAGCCUUGCCACAUCAUCUCUUAAAAAUAGUUUGAAUCCAUCAACUGUGUGCUCUGCCUAUGCAAUUCAUUGAACCGUAAGAUUAAAACCUUCAUAAGGUGUAGCCCUGUCUCCAACUACCUUCUGAAUAUUAACAUUUUUGUUGGAAAAGGAAGAAAGAUUGAAUCAUAGUUUGCACUAAAUGAAAAUGAGUUUUUUUUACAUUUUGUUCACUCACUAGGAGGGUCACUAUUUAUAUGCUUGCUUCAACUUUUUCCGGAUCACCAUGUAAAUCAUUUGUACAGGAGCUCUGGAACAAGAAAAACAAUAAUCACAAGGAUGGAGGCUUAACAUGUAUUUUGUUUGCCAUCUGGUGUUUAUCUAAUUUUUUGAUGGUGUGACCAAAACCAGAUUACCUUUUCUAAUGUUAGUAUUGGAGUGCUAUCUGCAAUGGCAUCUACUAUAUAUACUGAAAGUAGUUUUAUUUAUCUUUAGAACUUGAUAUAUUUUCUAAAACCACAUAUUAUGCUUCUAUUUGUAUCUAUGACUUCUGAAGCAAGUCAACACCCACACAGGCAAACAAACCAAACUGACGGUAGAGUCACUGCAUAUAAGGAAAUUUACUUUGCUUCCAGUAGUGGGUUUAGGCUUGAUAGAAGCUUCGUUGUUUAUAUUUUCAGAAAACUGGAUCUAUCAUGAUUAAGAUAUGGUCAACAUGUAUAUAUUUGGUUC